rnacentral:rRNA from 1 species
AAUAUGGGCAAACGGACACAACUCUGAACCAGCCACGUCACGUGAAGGGUUACUGCCCUACCGGCUGUACACCUCUUUUAUUCAGGAAUAACGUGAGUCCCGUGUGACGUACUGCAAGUACUGUAUGAAUAAGGCUCGGCUAACUCCGUGCCAGCCGCCGCGGUAAUACGGAGGAUCCAAGCGUUACCCGGAUUUAUUGGGUUUAAAGGGUGCGCAGGCGGAAGAUUAAGUCGGCGGUGAGAUUUUGCAGCUCAACUGUAAAAGUGCCAUCGAUACGGGUUUUCUUGAGUGAGGAUGAAGUAGGCGGAAUUUGUGGUGUAGCGGGGAAAUGCAUAGAUACCACGCGGAACUCCGAUUGCGCAGGCAGCUUACUAGGCCAUAACUGACGCUCAGGCACGAAGGCGUGGGGAUCAAACA